rnacentral:tRNA from 1 species
GGGGCUGUAGCUCAACGGUGGAGCAGGGGACUCAUAAUCCCUUGGUUCUCGGUUCGAAUCCGGGCGGCCCUA